rnacentral:rRNA from 1 species
UUCUGGGAGGAUUGACAGAUUAAGAGCUCUUUCUUGAUUCUGUGGAUAAUGGUGCAUGUCCGUUCUUAGUUGGUGGAGCGAUAUGUCCGGUUAAUUCCGAUAACGCAUGAGAUUCUAGCCUACUAAAUAGGUGCGUGGUUCUCUGCACCUUGCACCCUUUUUAGAGAGAGAAGCGGCUCCUAGCCGCACGAAACAGAGCAAUAACAGGUCUGUGAUGCCCUCAGAU